GACGAACGCUGGCGGCGUGCUUAACACAUGCAAGUCGAACGAAGAGCGAUGGAAGCUUGCUUCUAUCAAUCUUAGUGGCGAACGGGUGAGUAACGCGUAAUCAACCUGCCCUUCAGAGGGGGACAACAGUUGGAAACGACUGCUAAUACCGCAUACGAUCUAAUCUCGGCAUCGAGGAUAGAUGAAAGGUGGCCUCUACAUGUAAGCUAUCACUGAAGGAGGGGAUUGCGUCUGAUUAGCUAGGUGGAGGGGUAACGGCCCACCAAGGCGAUGAUCAGUAGCCGGUCUGAGAGGAUGAACGGCCACAUUGGGACUGAGACACGGCCCAGACUCCUACGGGAGGCAGCAGUGGGGAAUCUUCCGCAAUGGACGAAAGUCUGACGGAGCAACGCCGCGUGAGUGAUGACGGCCUUCGGGUUGUAAAGCUCUGUUAAUCGGGACGAAAGGCCUUCUUGCGAAUAGUGAGAAGGAUUGACGGUACCGGAAUAGAAAGCCACGGCUAACUACGUG
rnacentral:rRNA from 1 species